GACGAACGCUGGCGGCGUGCUUAACACAUGCAAGUCGAACGGAAAGGCCCUGCUUUUGUGGGGUGCUCGAGUGGCGAACGGGUGAGUAACACGUGAGUAACCUGCCCUUGACUUUGGGAUAACUUCAGGAAACUGGGGCUAAUACCGGAUAGGAGCUCCUGCUGCAUGGUGGGGGUUGGAAAGUUUCGGCGGUUGGGGAUGGACUCGCGGCUUAUCAGCUUGUUGGUGGGGUAGUGGCUUACCAAGGCUUUGACGGGUAGCCGGCCUGAGAGGGUGACCGGCCACAUUGGGACUGAGGUACGGCCCAGACUCCUACGGGAGGCAGCAGUGGGGAAUAUUGCACAAUGGGCGGAAGCCUGAUGCAGCAACGCCGCGUGCGGGAUGACGGGCUUCGGGUUGUAAACCGCUUUCGCCUGUGACGAAGCGUGAGUGACGGUAAUGGGUAAAGAAGCACCGGCUAAAUACGUGC
rnacentral:rRNA from 1 species